CUGAAGGAUAUAGGGUUUUGAGACUGCAUCUUUACUGAUGUGUGCUCGGCCCUCACACUUCGUGUUCCACACACACACCUUUGUGCACCAUGGGAAAUCGUAAUGAAUUCCCCUUUUCCACAUAGAAACCAAGUUAUAUGCAUGUUGUUAUGUACACUCUACGGAGUAAAUAUAAUGUA
rnacentral:misc_RNA from 1 species